rnacentral:rRNA from 1 species
CCGGACCUGACUGCUAUCGGAUUGGUACUAAGCCAUAUGAGUCAUUGUAGCAAUACAAGGCAUACGGCUCAGUAACACGUGGUCAAUCUAACCUAUGGACGUGGAUAACCUCGGGAAACUGAGAAUAAUCCGCGAUAGAUCAUUAUGCCUGGAACGGUUUAUGGUCGAAAUGAUUCGUCGCCAUAGGAUGGGACUGCGGCCUAUCAGCUUGUUGGUGAGGUAAUGGCCCACCAAGGCUAUUACAGGUACGGGCUCUGAGAGGAGAAGCCCGGAGAUGGGUACUGAGACACGGACCCAGGCCCUAUGGGGCGCAGCAGGCGAGAAACCUUUGCAAUGUGCGCAAGCACGACUAGGUUAAUCCGAGUGGUUCCUGCUAAAGGAACCUUUUGUCAGUCGUAAAACCAUAGACGAAUAAGGGGUGGGCAAGUCUGGUGUCAGCCGCCGCGGUAAUACCAGCACCUCGAGUGGUCAGGAGGUUCAUUGGGCCUAAAGCAUCCGUAGCCGGCUAUGCAAGUCUCCGGUUAAAUCCAACUGCUCAACAGAUGGGCUGCCGGAGAUACUACACAGCUAGGGAGCGGGAGAGGUAGACGGUAUUCUGUGGGUAGGGGUAAAAUCCACUGAUCCAUAGAGGACCACCAGUGGCGAAGGCGGUCUACCAGAACGCGUUCGACGGUGAGGGAUGAAAGCUGGGGGAGCAAACCGGAUUAGAUACCCGGGUAGUUCCAGCUGUAAACGAUGCAAACUCGGUGAUGCAUUGACUUAUGGUCAAUGCAGUGCCGCAGGGAAGCCGUUAAGUUUGCCGCCUGGGAAGUACGGACGCAAGUCUGAAACUUAAAGGAAUUGGCGGGGGAGCACCACAAGGGUGAAGCCUGCGGUUCAAUUGGAUUCAACGCCGG